rnacentral:rRNA from 1 species
AUUGAACGCUGGCGGCAGGCCUAACACAUGCAAGUCGAACGAGUGGCGGACGGGUGAGUAAUGUCUGGGAAACUGCCUGAUGGAGGGGGAUAACUACGGGAAACGGUAGCUAAUACCGCAUACCAUCAGAUGUGCCCACAUGGGAUGAGCUUGUUGUUGGGGUAACGGUUCACCAAGGCGACGAUGCCUAGCGGGUCUGAGAGGAUGACCAGCCACACUGGAACUGUGACACGGGCCAGACUCCUACGGGAGGCAGCAGUGGGGAAUAUUGGGCAAUGGGCGCAAGCCUGAUGCAGCCAUGCCGCGUGUAUGAAGAAGGCUUUCGGGUUGUAAAGUACUUUCAGCGGGGAGGCGUUACCCGCAGAAGAAGCACCGGCUAACUACGUGCCAGCCGCCGCGGUAAUAC